rnacentral:rRNA from 1 species
AGUUUGAUCCUGGCUCCGACGAACGCUGGCGGCGUGCUUAACACAUGCAAGUCGAACGAGAAUCUGUGGAUCGAGGAUUCGUCCAAGUGAAGCAGAGGGCAGUGGCGGACGGGUGAGUAACGCGUGAGGAACCUGCCUUUCAGAGGGGGACAACAGUUGGAAACGACUGCUAAUACCGCGUGAUACAUUUGGGUGGCAUCAUCUGAAUGUCAAAGAUUUAUCGCUGAAAGAUGGCCUCGCGUCUGAUUAGCUGGUUGGUGAGGUAACGGCCCACCAAGGCGACGAUCAGUAGCCGGACUGAGAGGUUGACCGGCCACAUUGGGACUGAGAUACGGCCCAGACUCCUACGGGAGGCAGCAGUGGGGAAUAUUGGGCAAUGGGCGCAAGCCUGACCCAGCAACGCCGCGUGAAGGAAGAAGGCUUUCGGGUUGUAAACUUCUUUUAAGAGGGAAGAGCAGAAGACUGUACCUCUAGAAUAAGCCACGGCUAACUACGUGCCAGCAGCCGCGGUAAUACGUAGGUGGCAAGCGUUGUCCGGAUUUACUGGGUGUAAAGGGCGUGCAGCCGGGAAUGCAAGUCAGAUGUGAAAUCCAUGGGCUUAACCCAUGAACUGCAUUUGAAACUGUAUUUCUUGAGUACUGGAGAGGCAAUCGGAAUUCCUAGUGUAGCGGUGAAAUGCGUAGAUAUUAGGAGGAACACCAGUGGCGAAGGCGGAUUGCUGGACAGCAACUGACGGUGAGGCGCGAAAGUGUGGGGAGCAAACAGGAUUAGAUACCCUGGUAGUCCACACUGUAAACGAUGAAUACUAGGUGUGCGGGGACUGACCCCCUGCGUGCCGCAGUUAACACAAU